rnacentral:rRNA from 1 species
UGGGGAAUUUUGCGCAAUGGGGGAAACCCUGACGCAGCAACGCCGCGUGAGUGAUGAAGGCCUUCGGGUCGUAAAGCUCUUUUAGUGGGGAAGAAGCCCACCCGGGCUAAUAUCCCGGGUGAAUGACGGUACCCGCAGAAAAAGUUCCGGCUAACUACGUGCCAGCAGCCGCGGUAAUACGUAGGGAGCAAGCGUUGUUCGGAAUUAUUGGGCGUAAAGAGCGCGUAGGCGGUUCGGUAAGUCUGACGUGAAAUCCCGGAGCUUAACUCCGGAACUGCGUUGGAUACUGCCGGGCUUGAGUGUGGGAGAGGAGAGUGGAAUUCCCAGUGUAGAGGUGAAAUUCGUAGAUAUUGGGAGGAACACCCGUGGCGAAGGCGGCUCUCUGGACCACAACUGACGCUGAGGCGCGAAAGCUAGGGUAGCAAACGGGAUUAGAUACCCUGGUAGUCCACGCCCUAAACGAUGACGACUAGUUGUUGGGGGAGUCUAUCCCUUAGUAACGUAGCUAACGCGUGAAGUCGUCCGCCUGGGGAGUACGGUCGCAAGAUUA